UGUCUCCCGAAGAUGUCCAACACAAUCUCGCGCGAAUCAAGUCAAUUUCUCUUGAAGAAUGGGUGGAUGGGGACGUUAUAGUGGAUGACUAUGCAGGACCAGACGAGGAAGAAGUAAACGCAAGUAGGUUAUUACGUGAGAAGUCGCCAUUCUACCACACUUUUCAGAAAAUAAGAAGAAUUGAAGAAAAACACGUGAAUUAGGAUGCAGAGUUGAACCCAUUUUACAAUCCUGCUGUGCUGAACGUGUUUGAAAACACAUACGCCCCAUACGUUGGAAUUUUCGCACGUGGAGUUGUGCAGCAAACCAAGAACGCCAACUUUGUCCGGGCAACGAAUGGAUCAUGUGAAUCAGAGUUUCGGCUAUUAAAGCAAAAUCUUAUCGUGGAACCGGAAAAUGUCGCCGACUUUGUUCAGCAUCGCUUUGAAAUUACAAAUGGUAAAAACAAAAAAUUUGUAUUCGACAAUCUACCAAAGAAACCAGCAAGCAAAGAAGCUAAGCUAGUUACAAAAACGCUGCAAAAUGACGACGAAAUCGAACGUGGAGAUAUUCCAAAGGACUAAUUCAAGAAGAAGUUCAAGAAUGCAAGGAGACAUGGAGCAAAAGAAAAAAAGGCGAACGAAAAAAUAGAUAUUUACAUAAUAGGACUGAGCUUACCAAGCUUGACGAGGAGAAGGCAAGAGAGAAUGCAAGGGUUCAAAAGAUUGGGAGAGACAGGUCUUCUCAACCCCUUCAACAAGUUCUUACUCUGAACAAUCAAAAUAAUGUAGCACGAACUAUGGAUGGAUGUUUGGAGACUCGGUAAUGUAGUAUUUAAUAUUUAAACGAACUUUAAUAACCGUUUGAUAGCGUAUUCUACAAAAAUGCCCGACUGAAAGAUGUUUUAUUCUAGUCUAAAUACUAAUUUAUUCCUAUACAAAUUCGGGAAAAAUAGGCAAAGGCGUAAUAAAACAUCCGCGGAAGAAGAGGAGACUACCACAGCUAACCUGGAGUCAAAGUUCAGGAAAAUAGUCUCGGACAUUCUGACGGAUCAGCAAGGGAAUUCUGCCAAGCAAUCGCUGCGGAAGCAAGUUUUGGGUGAAGAAUUUGUCACCCAGGAGAAACAAUAUCAGCGAUAUAAGUAACUUGCAAAUACAUAAUAAUAUGGACGAUGAAUUUAAUUGUAAUUAUUGUACAGAAUCGUUGAGAAUCUUACUGAGGAUUCACUCAUGAUGGCUUACUCCAACAUUAAAGAAGACAUAAUGGAACUUUACUUGGCCAAUCGGGAUGACUUUGUCGGCGGCUACAAAUGUGCUCGACAAAAGGUCGCUAAAUUUUCCCAGCUAUUUAACUAGAACCUGAUAUAGUAAUAUUCUAAUACAUUAUUUACGCAGAUGUGGGUGGAACGAAAGCCAAACUUUUCUGGAAAUUUGCAGCAAAUGGUGGUAUCAUAUCCAUUUACCACAAAAUCUUGCUCUAAGAUAUGUUCCACAGUUUCCUCCGAUAUCCAAAAGCUUAAAAACAUCUCUGCUCUAGGAUUUGAAGACAUUUUACAAGUAACAACCGUUCUGCUUCCCGAAACACUGGAGCUAAUUUACUCUGAUGUCUUGAAAACACCACUUCACCAAGCAAGAAAAGAGCUUUCCAACAUCUCGCCAUUUGACUAACUUGAUAAGCUUAUAAAUUUAAGUUAUACGAAUCUAUACUACAUGUUCAUUAUUGAGAAUCAAAGUAAAACCAAGG